UUGAAGUCAGGCCACUUGUGCCACGGCUUGAGCAAACCGUGCUGCCUGUAGCUCCGCCCAAAACGGGAGGCGUAAAAAUUCCCAGGGAGGCCAUGCGCCACGGAAGCUGUACGCGUGGCAUAUUGGACUAGCGGUUAGAGGAGACCCCUCCCAUCACCAACGAAACGCAGCAAAAGGGGGCCCGAAGCCAGGAGGAAGCUGUACUCCUGGUGGAAGGACUAGAGGUUAGAGGAGACCCCCCCAACACAAAAACAGCAUAUUGACGCUGGGAAAGACCAGAG
rnacentral:lncRNA from 1 species